rnacentral:rRNA from 1 species
UACACGACCGUACCGCAAACCGACACUGGUGCGCGAGAUGAGUAUUCUAAGGCGCUUGAGAGAACUCUGGAGAAGGAACUCGGCAAAUUGACACCGUAACUUCGGAAGAAGGUGUGCCUUUAGUAGGUGAAGUCCCUCGCGGAUGGAGCCCAAUGAGGUUGCAAAAAAUCGGUGGCUGCGACUGUUUAAUAAAAACACAGCACUCUGCAAAGACGAAAGUCGACGUAUAGGGUGUGACGCCUGCCCGGUGCUGGAAGAUUAAAUGAUGGGGUGCAAGCUCUUGAUUGAAGUCCCAGUAAACGGCGGCCGUAACGAUAACGGUCCUAAGGUAGCGAAAUUCCUUGUCGGGUAAGUUCCGACCUGCACGAAUGGCGUAACGAUGGCCACACUGUCUCCUCCAGAGACUCAGCGAAGUUGAAAUGUUUGUGAUGAUGCAAUCUCCCCGCGGAAAGACGGAAAGACCCCAUGAACCUUUACUGUAGCUUUGUAUUGGACUUUGAACAGAUCUGUGUAGGAUAGGUGGGAGGCUUUGAAGCAGGGUCGCUAGAUCUUGUGGAGCCAACGUUGAAAUACCACCCUGGUGUGUUUGAGGUUCUAACCUAGGUCCAUUAGCUGGAUCGGGGACAGUGCAUGGUAGGCAGUUUGACUGGGGCGGUCUCCUCCCAAAGCGUAACGGAGGAGUUCGAAGGUACGCUAGGUACGGUCGGACAUCGUGCUAAUAGUGCAAUGGCAUAAGCGUGCUUAACUGCGAGACUGACAAGUCGAGCAGAUGCGAAAGCAGGACAUAGUGAUCCGGUGGUUCUGUAUGGAAGGGCCAUCGCUCAACGGAUAAAAGGUACUCUGGGGAUAACAGGCUGAUACCGCCCAAGAGUUCAUAUCGACGGCGGUGUUUGGCACCUCGAUGUCGGCUCAUCUCAUCCUGGGGCUGUAGCCGGUCCCAAGGGUAUGGCUGUUCGCCAUUUAAAGAGGUACGUGAGCUGGGUUUAAAACGUCGUGAGACAGUUUGGUCCCUAUCUUCCGUGGGCGCUGCAGAUUUGAGGAAGCCUGCUCCUAGUACGAGAGGACCGGAGUGGACACACCUCUGGUGUAUCGGUUGUCACGCCAGUGGCAUUGCCGAGUAGCUAAGUGUGGAAGAGAUAACCGCUGAAAGCAUCUAAGCGGGAAACUCGUUUCAAGAUGAGAUCUGCCGGGGCCUUGAGCCCCCUAAAGAGUCGUUCAAGACCAGGACGUUGAUAGGUCAGGUGUGGAAGCGCAGUAAUGCGUUAAGCUAACUGAUACUAAUUGCUCGUGCGACUUGACCCG